UACGUAGGGGGCAAGCGUUGUCCGGAAUCAUUGGGCGUAAAGAGCGUGUAGGCGGCCCGAUAAGUCCGCUGUGAAAGUCCAGGGCUCAACCCUGGAAUGCCGGUGGAUACUGUCGGGCUCGAAUCCGGAAGAGGUGAGUGGAAUUCCUGGUGUAGCGGUGAAAUGCGCAGAUAUCAGGAGGAACACCGAUGGCGAAGGCAGCUCGCUGGGACGGUACUGACGCUGAGGCGCGAAAGCGUGGGGAGCGAACAGG
rnacentral:rRNA from 1 species